AGACUUUGCCAACGCGGCUCAAAGUGCGGUAUCUGUUCUUAUCAGCUUAAUAUCUGAUACGGGUUGUUUGUGGACCUAAGAUGUUGAACUUAUUUUGCAAGCUGGCGGAGUGCUUAAAGCCUGCUUCACCUCCGCUGCGUAUCGGCCCGGUAUUGCACUAUUUUCGGUGUCGGCCCACGUAUG